AGAGCUGAAUCCACACAGCAGAUCCCAAACUGGGGGUGUUUGACAUUUGCAUCUGGCUCAAGAUCUGAAUUUGGAGCUUGAGUCUAUUGAUGCAGAACGAUGCCAGUUCAAAUGCAGAAGACAGUCUCAAGGCAUGGGGCGCAAGUAAUCAUUUCUCGGACAAAGGUGCUAAGCAAGCCGUGGCAAACAUCCUUCUCACUUCCUACGGCCCUGAGAGCAAAAGCUUGUCUGAAACUGCAGAGCGCAGAGGGACAGUGCUGGUGUGUGCAGUGGGGGUGGGGGGCAGUCCAGGCGACUGGCAAACAGUAAGCAUAGUCCAAUUCAUUCUGUGCCUUGCAGGCUGAAAUCAAACUUAGGGCAGAGUCACAAACAAAUCAGUGGUAACAAAAAGGCAUUGAGCCCCGAAUAAAUGAGACUCGCAGUGUUGAAGUUUCACGUGCACUCUCAUUUUGCUGACACAUGGCACAGGCAUUUGGUCUGCUUGUCACCCGGGUCCUAACUACAGCCAACAAUGCAAACCACAUAUAGAAACCAGCUCUGCAUUAACCCUGACGCUCCACACCUCACACUAAAGGACAUCAGCUACACAUUCACAAGAGGCAGCCGCCCAUUCUUGGGCUAUGCCAUGGUAGCCUGUGGAUGUCAGCCUGGGCCUCAGUGAGGGAUCACUGUCGUGCUUAAUGCUCUGGUUUGUGCUGGUGCCACAUUAAAACCUGCCUUCCAUAACGUG